ACUAUUUUAAAUACGUAAGUGAUGAUAAUAAUACAUUAUGUUGUCACGCCCGAAAAGCGAUUCCGCGUGUAGUUCAGAAUUUUAACGCUCUUGUUUUUAAUAUUUUUAUUUUUUUUUACAGUAUUUAUACGCAAUGGUCGUAUCCAGAAAAAUAACCUCAUCCACUUUAAAACAAAUUCAACAAGUCAUGAUAUAUCUAUUUAUACACAACACAACACGUAUUCGAUUCGGUGCAUAAUACAUUUUUGACUUGGAAAAUUGUUUACGAGUUAUUAAACAAUAAUGUCGUAAAAUAUUAUCAGCUCACAAUUACCUACUGUAUUGUAAUGUUUUUAAUGAAUUCAAUACGAAUGAAAUAAUUCAAUAUCGAUGUACGAAGCUCGUUGAAAUGUAUUAUAUUCAGCGAUGACGAACAGUGUUUCGAUUAAUUAAUAAUUAUUUGAAAUACAAUUUUAUGUAUAUUUUGUUUU